GACGUAGGGCGCGAGCGUUGUCCGGAUUUAUUGGGCGUAAAGAGCUCGUAGGCGGCUUGUUGCGUCGACUGUGAAAACCCGCGGCUUAACUGCGGGCUUGCAGUUGAUACGGGCAGGCUAGAGUUCGGUAGGGGAGACCGGAAUUCCUGGUGUAGCGGUGAAAUGCGCAGAUAUCAGGAGGAACACCGGUGGCGAAGGCGGGUCUCCGGGCCGAUACUGACGCUGAGGAGCGAAAGCGUGGGGAGCGAACAGG
rnacentral:rRNA from 1 species